CCGGAGUGAACGCACCACUGGUGUUCGGGUUGUCAUGCCAAUGGCACUGCCCGGUAGCUAAGUGCGGAAAAGAUAAGUGCUGAAAGCAUCUAAGCACGAAACUUGCCUCGAGAUGAGUCUUCCCUGGUCCCUUGAGGACCCUAAAGGAACGUUUAAGACUAAGACGUUGAUAGGCUGGGUGUGUAAGUGCAGCGAUGCAUUGAGCUAACCAGUACUAAUGAACCGUGAGGCUUAACCUUACAACACCGAAGGUGUUU
rnacentral:rRNA from 1 species